GCUCGCUUAGCUCAGUGGUAGAGCAUUGUACUUAUGAGGUUGCGAUAACACCUGCGCAUUAUGCAAGGGUCGGCAGUUCGACCCUGCCAGUGAGCA